UAAGGAAUAUUGGUCAAUGGACGCAAGUCUGAACCAGCCAUGCCGCGUGAAGGAUGAAGGUCCUCUGGAUUGUAAACUUCUUUUAUCUGGGACGAAAACGGGAUUUUUAUCUCAAUUGACGGUACCAGAGGAAUAAGCACCGGCUAACUCCGUGCCAGCAGCCGCGGUAAUACGGAGGGUGCGAGCGUUAUCCGGAUUUACUGGGUUUAAAGGGUGCGUAGGUGGGCUUAUAAGUCAGUGGUGAAAUCUCCGAGCUUAACUUGGAAACUGCCGUUGAUACUAUAGGUCUUGAAUUAUCUGGAGGUAAGCGGAAUAUGUCAUGUAGCGGUGAAAUGCUUAGAUAUGACAUAGUACACCAAUUGCGAAGGCAGCUUACUACAUAUAAAUUGACGCUGAGGCACGAAAGCGUGGGGAUCAAACA
rnacentral:rRNA from 1 species